GGUCUUCGGAUUGUAAACCCCUGUCAUGUGGGAGCAAAUUAAAAAGAUAGUACCACAAGAGGAAGAGACGGCUAACUCUGUGCCAGCAGCCGCGGUAAUACAGAGGUCUCAAGCGUUGUUCGGAAUCACUGGGCGUAAAGCGUGCGUAGGCUGUUUCGUAAGUCGUGUGUGAAAGGCGCGGGCUCAACCCGCGGACGGCACAUGAUACUGCGAGACUAGAGUAAUGGAGGGGGAACCGGAAUUCUCGGUGUAGCAGUGAAAUGCGUAGAUAUCGAGAGGAACACUCGUGGCGAAGGCGGGUUCCUGGACAUUAACUGACGCUGAGGCACGAAGGCCAGGGGAGCGAAAGGGAUUAGAUACCCCUGUAGUCCUGGCAGUAAACGGUGCACGCUUGGUGUGCGGGGAAUCGACCCCCUGCGUGCCGGAGCUAACGCGUUAAGCGUGCCGCCUGGGGAGUACGGUCGCAAGAUUAAAACUCAAAGAAAUUGACGGGGACCCGCACAAGCGGUGGAGCAUGUGGAUUAAUUCGAUGCAACGCGAAGAACCUUACCUGGGCUUGACAUGUAAUGAACAACAUGUGAAAGCAUGCGACUCUUCGGAGGCGUUACACAGGUGCUGCAUGGCCGUCGUCAGCUCGUGUCGUGAGAUGUUUGGUUAAGUCCAGCAACAAGCGCAACCCCUGUUGCCAGUUAC
rnacentral:rRNA from 1 species